CCAAUAGCGUAUAUUAAAGUUGUUGCAGUUAAAAAGCUCGUAGUUGAAUUUCGAGACCGGUCUACUGGUCGUGCUUUUGUACGUACUGGUAUAAUCGGUUUCUCUCUUCUGACGAACUAUAAUGCCAUUAAUUUGGUGUUUUAGGGAAUCAGGACUGUUACUUUGAAAAAAUUAGAGUGUUUAAAGCAGGCUCACGCUUGGAUACAUUAGCAUGGAAUAACGAAAUAGGACGUUUGAUUUUAUUUUGUUGGUUUCUAGGAUCGACAUAAUGAUUAAUAGGGAUAGUUGGGGGCAUUAGUAUUCAAUUGUCAGAGGUGAAAUUCUUGGAUUUAUUGAAGACUAACUACUGCGAAAGCAUUUGCCAAGGAUGUUUUCAUUAAUCAAGAACGAAAGUUAGGGGAUCGAAGACGAUCAGAUACCGUCGUAGUCUUAACCAUAAACUAUGCCGACUAGGGAUCGGAUGAUGUUAAUUUUUUAAUGACUCAUUCGGCGCCCUACG
rnacentral:rRNA from 1 species